rnacentral:rRNA from 1 species
CAGCAGCCGCGGUAAUACAGAGGGUGCGAGCGUUAAUCGGAUUUACUGGGGGUAAAGCGUGCGUAGGCGGCUUCUUAAGUCGGAUGUGAAAUCCCUGAGCUUAACUUAGGAAUUGCAUUCGAUACUGGGAAGCUAGAGUAUGGGAGAGGAUGGUAGAAUUCCAGGUGUAGCGGUGAAAUGCGUAGAGAUCUGGAGGAAUACCGAUGGCGAAGGCAGCCAUCUGGCCUAAUACUGACGCUGAGGUACGAAAGCAUGGGGAGCAAACAGGAUUAGAUACCCCUGUAGUCCCUGUCUCUUAUAC